AAACAACGAAGUUGUGUUCUCCUCCUCCUCCGCCCUUCCACCAUCUUCUUCUCUCUCCCUCUGAGGGUCAGAGCAAUAAAGAAAGAUGUCGACGACCACAACAACGUUACAAUCUGCGAAGUCACCGGUGCCGUUGUUGUACCGGCGACAUUCAAGCGGUCAAAUAAGGAACUUAGCCUCAGUGUCAAGUAGUCUGCUGCCGGCUUUUGGAACUGUCGUUGGUGAAGGAUCUUUGCAGCUCAAUAAAUUCGUUAUUGCCCCAUAUGACCGUAGAUACCGGUGGUGGCAAGCAUUUCUUGUAGUUUUGGUGGUUUACUCAGCCUGGUCAUCUCCAUUCGAGCUAGCGUUCAAGAAGGUGGCCACCGACUCACUGUUGCCAGUUGACUUAGUCGUUGAUGCAUUCUUUGGUAUUGAUAUCGUUCUUACUUUCUUCGUGGCUUACUUGGACAAAUCCACCUACUUGCUCGUUGAUGAUCACAAGAAAAUAGCCAUGAGGUAUGUCAAACAUUUAUGGUUUCCCAUGGACGUAGCUUCUACGCUGCCAUUUCAGGUUAUCUACCAAAUCUUCACUGGAAAAAGGCAUUACGGACAAGUCUUUGGGUUCCUCAACUUGCUCAGGCUAUGGCGACUUAGACGUGUUAGCGAACUUUUCUCCAGGCUAGAGAAGGACACUCGCUUCAGCUACUUCUGGACAAGAUACGCGAAACUAAUAUGUGUGACCUUAUUUGCGGUGCACUCAGCUGGUUGCUUCUACUACUGGCUGGCAACACAUCAUCAUGUGGCAGAUGAUACAUGGAUUGGUUCUUUGAUUCCUAAUUUUCAAGACAGGAGUGUGUGGCUGGGAUACACUUAUUCCAUGUAUUGGUCCAUCGUCACUCUCACAACUGUUGGCUAUGGAGAUUUGCACGCAGUGAAUACAGGAGAGAAGAUUUUCAACAUGUUGUACAUGCUUUUUAACAUUGGCCUCACAGCAUACCUAAUUGGCAACAUGACAAAUCUUAUUGUCCACAGUGCUGUCCGAACCUUUGCCAUGAGGGAUGCUAUCAAUGAGAUCCUGCGAUAUGCAAGCAAGAAUCGACUUCCAGAAAGCUUGAAAGAUCAAAUGCUGGCACAUGUUACGCUGAAAUUCAAGACCGCGGAAUUACAGCAAGAAGAAGUACUAGAAGAUCUGCCCAAGGCAAUAAGAUCUAGCAUCGCCCAGCAUCUUUUCCGAAAAACUGUGGAAAGUACUUACCUUUUCAAAGGAGUCUCUGAAGACUUUAUUGUUCAGCUGGUCCCAGAGAUGAAAGCAGAGUAUUUUCCACCAAAAGUUGAUAUUAUUAUACAAAAUGAAAUAUCAACAGAUUUCUACAUUAUUGUAUCCGGAGCUGUGGACGUGAUAACAUACAAAAAUGGCACGGAGCAGUUCCUGUCGAAGACGGGGCCUCCUGAUAUGUUUGGGGAAAUAGGGGUAAUUUUUAAUGUCCCUCAACCUUUCACAGUCAGAACUAGGAGGCUGUCUCAGGUUAUACGGAUCAGCCAUCAUAACUUCAAGCAAUUGCUGCAGCCGUUUACUGAAGAUGGAAAAAUAAUGCUCUCCAACUUCCUUCAGGUUUUCAUUUUUCAAAAAACAUUAGUACAUGUCAUAAAUGGCAUUAUCAAUUUCAGCAUUUGAAAGGGUUAAAAAAGGAGGAGCUGGAAGAGAUACCACUGGUAACAGAAUUCCUUGGAGACUUAAGAACAGAGGAUACAGCAGCAGUGGAGGAAUUAGAGCACCAUGCAGCUGAUGAAGAAGCAAGAAGAACCUCGACAGCAUAUGCAUUUUCCGAGGUGUUGCCUACAAGAAUAAUAAUCCAUGGACAUCACCCUAAUGAAAAACUAACUGAAGGAGAAAGUCCUGGAAAACUGAUCCAUCUUCCUGAUACAAUAGAAGAUCUUCUAAGAUUAGCAGAAAAAUGGUUGAGGAAACGAGGAACUGCAAUUCUCAUGGCAGAUGGUUCUCAAGUGGAAGAUUUGAACGCUUUAAGAGAAAAUGACCACUUGUACAUUUUAUAGAGCAGCCUUGUUGAGCAGAUACGACCAUGCAGACCAUGCAAAAUCAUAUUUUGUUGACAAAGUUUUAUUACAUAUCUUUAAAAAAUUAUUCAAGUACAAGUACUGAGAAUUAUUUUUAACAUUGUAUAUCCCUACCUUCCCAUAUGCAGUUGUAUUAGUAAGAACUUAAACCUAAGUAUUUGAAUAGUGCGGUCAAAAUGAAACCUUAAACCCUUAGCUGAUCACCUGGUUAUUCAGCAUGCUUAUAACAGCAUAGGCAGCUUUCUGA